rnacentral:rRNA from 1 species
UACGUAGGGGGCAAGCGUUGUCCGGAUUUAUUGGGCGUAAAGAGCGUGUAGGCGGUCUGGUAGGUCCGUUGUGAAAACUCGAGGCUCAACCUCGAGACGCCGAUGGAAACCCUCAGACUAGAGUCCGGAAGAGGAGAGUGGAAUUCCUGGUGUAGCGGUGAAAUGCGCAGAUAUCAGGAAGAACACCCGUGGCGAAGGCGGCUCUCUAGUACGGUACUGACGCUGAGACGCGAAAGCGUGGGGAGCGAACAGG